AGACAAUAGAUACCCGGGUAGUCCUAGCCGUAAACGAUGAGAACUAGGUGUGGGGGGUAAACCCUCCGUGCCGACGCCAAACGCAUUAAAGUUCUCCGCCUGGGGUACUACGGCCGCAAGGUUAAAACCUCAAACGGAAUUGACGGGGGUCCCGGCACAAGCGGUGGAGCAUGUGGUUCAAUUCGAUGCAAACGCGAGGAACCUUACCUGGGCUUGACAUCCCGUGCAAUCCGAUGAAAGUCGGGUUCCGUAGCAAUACGGCGCGGAGACAGGUGGUGCAUGGCUGUCGUCAGCUCGUGUCGUGAGAUGUUGGGUUAAGUCCCGCAACCGAGCGCAACCCCGUGCCGAUAGUUGCCAUCAUUAAGUUGGGAACCUCUAUCGGGUACUGUCGGUAACAAGCCGAAGGAAGGUGGGGAUGACGUCAAGUCAUCAUG
rnacentral:rRNA from 1 species